AAUAAAAGGAGCAGCUCCGGCGCCGCAAAGCUUAAUAGGGAAGACGGUGAAAAUCCGUCACGGGUGCGCCGCUGUUACCGGGGACGAAAGCCGUAAUGAAUCCACUGUUCGCUGUAUGGGAAUGGGAAGGAACGGUUAGUAGGACGAUCCGGAAGUCAGAAUACCUGGCGGGGUUGCGCAAUCGGU
rnacentral:ncRNA from 2 species